rnacentral:misc_RNA from 1 species
AACGCACGAGACCUGCGGACCUGCGGAAGGAUCAUUACCGAGUGUUACAGCUCCCAAACCCACUGUGAACGUACCCAUCGUUGCUUCGGCGGGACCGCCCCGGCGCCUCCGCGCGCCGGGCACGGGCGCCCGCCGGGGGCCCGAAACUCUUGCCUCCUCGCGUGGAUUCUCUGAGUGGCACGAAAAGGGAAAAUGAAUCAAAACUUUUAGCAAUGGAUCUCUAGAUCGGAAGAGCACACG